ACAGGAUCUCCAGGUCCUAUAUUACUGGAUUUCGUGAAUGUCAACUUAACGCAGCACCCGUUAUGUGACGUCAGUAACAGCAUCGUCGUGCAUGAUGGUGGUCAAUGCAUCAUCUAUAGUUAUGGGUUAAAAUAAAGGAUCGGAUAACGACUGAUGGGGAACCCUGCAUAUAGUGGAUAAAUUUACAGACAAGAACAUAAUCUACGUUGAAUGUGCCUAAACAUUCAGCAUCAAAAUGCGUACAGAAAAUAUACAAGCAGGAUUGUUUCACGCGUGUGUUGCCAAGUAGAGUAAGCAAAUGAUAAAUACAAUCAGGCCAUCAAAACGCAAAAAUGAUGAGGUUAUUGUCACCACCCACAGACAUUUAAAUAAUGCACACAGUCGGUUGGAACUGCAGAAUGUAAAGGUUGUCCACGACGAAUGUUACUAACAAUACAAAGCGACAGAACCCUAUCCGUAUUCAUAUAGUAGUAUCUGCUAAAAGCAGCGACGAUAACACGAUUCCAACCGUAUUGCGACCAUGUAUUUUUGAAUCACUCAGUCGUGAUGAUACCAAGUAUUGGCGAGAGGGUGAGCGUAUUCUGCCCGGCAUAAACACACACAAAGGCAAGUCAAUCAUUCACCUGAAGAAAACGUGGAUACAUAUGAUACUCGUCAAACCUGGGAACUGCACAGGACAUAAAUUUUGUCACUGAUGUGUCAAUAUCAUCCAUAUGUCUACCACAGAAACAUUUUGAAGCUGUACUCAGAUAUUGAACGUGUAACCUUGAUCAAACAACGUUUGUAGGAGCGCUUUGAUAUGUAGGGAGAAAGAGCAAAGUUCUUGGCAAAAUUAUCACGUUUUAACACAGACAAUUCGAGCAGAAAUUCCGAUUCCAGUGCAUAACAAACGUUUCGGAUAGAAUGGGCCAUAGCCUCGAACAUGUUAGUCCGUGACGUCGCAUCGUAUUGUUUGACGCAUGCCCAGACCUUGGAACUUGUUUGUAUCGGCCUGGUUCCGUUACCAAUAUUCACUCCUCAUGUGACGUCCUUUAUGUCACACACCAGUUUAAAGUAACAGCUACGCUCACUCAUUCCAAGUUGAUUCAUGCCAUCCAAAAUGUCUUUGUGGCAGCGUUCGAAAUCAACCCCGGUCCUUAGACCCGAAGCCGACUGAACACCACUCGGAUCCACUGCUUCUGAUUUCUGCAGGGCUUCAUGGCCCUGUUUGCCUGGAAUUACUUAUAUUGUAGCUAAAAUAUAGGGCCUACACAUUCUGAUCAGGACCCACAACCUUUUAUGGUUCUGGGUCCUUAGGACCUGCAGCUUUUUAGGGUUAAAGGCAAACAUUUAUCUUAAACU